rnacentral:rRNA from 1 species
UACGUAGGUGGCAAGCGUUGUCCGGAUUUACUGGGCGUAAAGAGCGCGCAGGCGGUCGUUCAAGUCGCGUGUGAAAGCCCCCGGCUCAACUGGGGAGGGUCACGCGAUACUGAUCGACUCGAAGGCAGGAGAGGGUAGUGGAAUUCCCGGUGUAGUGGUGAAAUGCGUAGAUAUCGGGAGGAACACCAGUGGCGAAGGCGGCGACCUGGUCCAUUACUGACGCUGAGGCGCGACAGCGUGGGGAGCAAACAGG